AUAAGCUGCCAAAAGACCAAGCAGUGCGAAGCUCUUGGCUGACAGUGGUGCCUGCUAAUUUCCACUGCAAGGAUUUCGUCCACGAAUGUUAUCAUAGGUUACGCGCGACUCCAGAGGCAAUUUGGAAUCUCGGCACGAAAUCGUCUGAUGAAAAUCUGAGGUGCCCGACGCAUAACAUUUUGAACGUGCCACGGAGGAUCAAGGCAAAAAACGAGAGCAAAAAAUGGUGCACGCUGAAGGCGGAAAUGAAGCAUGAUCUGGCUUGCAUCUGGUCAUGAAGAAAUUGCUGACACGUUAGUUGCAGUCCACCUCCACCAACAGGGUGGAAAACAAAGAUCGCCAUUCCGAUUAGCUGCUAUCUCCCAGUUCAAGCACUUUUGUGUCUGGACACUGGUUCCUGUGGAUGGGGUGGUACAAGCUUUACUGUCUGAUAUAGAAGUGAUGAGCAUCCAUAAGGACACAUGCCAGAAAGGGAGUCUCUUUGGGAUGACAAACCCUCAUCACCUCAUGAGGAUACAAUGGUUGACGAAUGGUUCUCAAGCACAUCGAAACUUCCAACAAAUAAUUAAUGAAAAAGCCAGUCAGUGCUAGCACCAGGAAUUGAACGUGGGCCAUCCUGCUACCAGUCAGAGAUGUUCAGUGGUGUAGCCACGAGGGGGCUAGGGGGUCUCGAGCCCCCCCUACCUGCCACGGACCGACCCACACAAAUCGUGCAAAUCCGAGAACAUAAUAUAUGGGGGGGGGACCAGUGUGACUAUCGCGAAAGUUCUUGCAGUUCAUGGCGUCUAUCUAAGAAGCAUUCUUGAAUGGUUUUCAAAGUAUGAGCUUUUCAAAAUACUUCCAAUCUCGUGACACCACUUCAUUGGUCAUGACAGCCUAUACAUGUAAUCGUACUGUGAACAUCUAAAUCAACUAUUUUCGUUCCCUUUUUUAAUCCUCAGUUUGAAGUGUGCACAAGUAUGUGUGUGUUGUCGACACAGGAUCAGCGGG